rnacentral:rRNA from 1 species
AAACACAUGCAAGUCGAACGGAUGCUUCGACAUUCAGUGGGCGGACGGGGUGAGUAACACGUGGGAACUUGUCCGUCGGUGGGGAACAACCGCUGGAAACGGCGGCUAAUACCGCAUGAACCCUGAGGGCAAGGCUUCGGCGCCUGAGGAGGGGCCCGCGUCCGAUUAGCUCGUUGGUGGGUAACGGCCUACCAAGGCGUCGAUCGGUAGCUGGUCUGAGAGGACGAUCAGCCACACUGGGACUGAGACACGGCCCAGACUCCUACGGGAGGCAGCAGGUGGGGAAUAUUGGACAAUGGGCGAAAGCCUGAUCCAGCAAUGCCGCGUGAGUGAUGAAGGCCUUAGGGUUGUAAAGCUCUUUCGCCUGAGACGAUGAUGACGGUAUCAGGAGAAGAAGCCCCGGCUAAUUCCGUG